CACAUGACUCUCGGCAACGGAUAUCUCGGCUCUCGCAUCGAUGAAGAACGUAGCGAAAUGCGAUACCUGGUGUGAAUUGCAGAAUCCCGCGAACCAUCGAGUCUUUGAACGCAAGUUGCGCCCGAGGCCUUCUGGUCGAGGGCACGCCUGCCUGGGCGUCACGC
rnacentral:rRNA from 1 species